AGAGUUUGAUCCUGGCUCACGACGAACGCUGGCGGCGUGCUUAACACAUGCAAGUCGAACGAAGAGCGAUGGAAGCUUGCUUCUAUCAAUCUUAGUGGCAAACGGGUGAGUAACGCGUAAUCAACCUGCCCUUCAGAGGGGGACAACAGUUGGAAACGACUGCUAAUACCGCAUACGAUCUAAUCUCGGCAUCGAGGAUAGAUGAAAGGUGGCCUCUAUUUAUAAGCUAUCACUGAAGGAGGGGAUUGCGUCUGAUUAGCUAGUUGGAGGGGUAACGGCCCACCAAGGCGAUGAUCAGUAGCCGGUCUGAGAGGAUGAACGGCCACAUUGGGACUGAGACACGGCCCAGACCCCUACGGGAGGCAGCAGUGGGGAAUCUUCCGCAAUGGACGAAAGUCUGACGGAGCAACGCCGCGUGAGUGAUGACGGCCUUCGGGUUGUAAAGCUCUGUUAAUCGGGACGAAAGGCCUUCUUGCGAAUAGUUAGAAGGAUUGACGGUACCGGAAUAGAAAGCCACGGCUAACUACGUGCCAGCAGCCGCGGUAAUACGUAGGUGGCAAGCGUUGUCCGGAAUUAUUGGGCGUAAAGCGCGCGCAGGCGGAUUGGUCAGUCUGUCUUAAAAGUUCGGGGCUUAACCCCGUGAUGGGAUGGAAACUGCCAAUCUAGAGUAUCGGAGAGGAAAGUGGAAUUCCUAGUGUAGCGGUGAAAUGCGUAGAUAUUAGGAAGAACACCAGUGGCGAAGGCGACUUUCUGGACCAAAACUGACGCUGAGGCGCCAAAGCCACGGGAAGCGAACGGGAUUAGAUACCCCGG
rnacentral:rRNA from 1 species